rnacentral:rRNA from 1 species
GGCAGGUGCGGAUGCUUACCAUGCAAGUCGAACGGAAACGAAACUAGCUUGCUAGUAGGCGUCGAGUGGCGGACGGGUGAGUAACGCGUAGGAAUCUGCCUGAUAGUGGGGGAUAGCCCGAAGAAAUUCGGAUUAAUACCGCAUAAUCUAUUCGUAGUAAAGUGGGGGACUUUCGAGCCUCACGCUAUCAGAUGAGCCUGCGUAAGAUUAGCUUGUUGGUAGGGUAAAAGCCUACCAAGGCAACGAUCUUUAGCUGGUCUGAGAGGAUGAUCAGCCACAUCGGGACUGAGACACGGCCCGAACUCCUACGGGAGGCAGCAGUGGGGAAUAUUGGACAAUGGGGGCAACCCUGAUCCAGCAAUACCGCGUGUGUGAAGAAGGCCUGAGGGUUGUAAAGCACUUUCAAUUAUGAAGAAAAGUUAACGGUUAAUAACCGUUGACCUUGACGUUAAUUUUAGAAGAAGCACCGGCUAACUCCGUGCCAGCAGCCGCGGUAAUACGGAGGGUGCAAGCGUUAAUCGGAAUUACUGGGCGUAAAGCGUGCGUAGGCGGUUUAUUAAGUCAGAUGUGAAAGCCCCGGGCUUAACCUGGGAACUGCAUUUGAAACUGGUCAACUAGAGUAUGGUAGAGGAAAGUGGAAUUUCUGGUGUAGCGGUGAAAUGCGUAGAUAUCAGAAGGAACAUCAAUGGCGAAGGCAGCUUUCUGGACCAAUACUGACGCUGAGGUACGAAAGCGUGGGUAGCAAACAGGAUUAGAUACCCUGGUAGUCCACGCCGUAAACGAUGAUAACUAGCCGUUGGGGGGAUUUACCCCUUAGUGGCGAAGCUAACGCGUUAAGUUAUCCGCCUGGGGAGUACGGCCGCAAGGCUAAAACUCAAAGGAAUUGACGGGGACCCGCACAAGCGGUGGAGCAUGUGGUUUAAUUCGAUGCAACGCGAAGAACCUUACCUGGUCUUGACAUCCUGCGAACUUUCUAGAAAUAGAUUGGUGCCUUCGGGAACGCAGUGACAGGUGCUGCAUGGCUGUCGUCAGCUCGUGUCGUGAGAUGUUGGGUUAAGUCCCGUAACGAGCGCAACCCCUAUCCUUAUUUGCCAGCACAUUAUGGUGGGAACUAUAAGGAGACUGCCGGUGAUAAACCGGAGGAAGGCGGGGACGACGUCAAGUCAUCAUGGCCCUUACGACCAGGGCUACACACGUACUACAAUGGGAAGGACAAAGAGCCGCGAAGCCGCGAGGUGUAGCUAAUCUCAUAAAUCUUUUCGUAGUCCGGAUUGGAGUCUGCAACUCGACUCCAUGAAGUCGGAAUCGCUAGUAAUCGUAGAUCAGAAUGCUACGGUGAAUACGUUCCCGGGUCUUGUACACACCGCCCGUCAUACCAUGGGAGUGGGUUGCACCAGAAGUGGCUAGUCUAACUUUGUGAGGACGGUCACCCACCGGUGAUUACG